rnacentral:lncRNA from 1 species
CUCACAUGUAUCUAUACCAUUCUACUCACACCAGAAAGUUUGAAAAUCUAUACUUGGACCCCCUAAGAAAUUUUGAGAAAAGUGUACAUGAACGCUUCAUUUUUAUGUGGUAUAAAUGUAAAAGUAAGAGAAGUUACAUUUCAUCAUUUAUAGUGCAUACAAUUUGUAUAUUAUAUAAUAUGUAAUGUGAAUCAGUUUUCUGUUGAUACAAACUUGAAUUAUUACUAUGUUUCAAAGUAAGGCAAGAUAAAACACUUUGUUGAACAUGUAUGAUCACUGGUGCAGGCACACAUGAGACAAUGCUAUACACAAUACUACAAACUCAAUUCAACACAAUAGAACUACUUUUUACCAUGUCAAAGCUACAAAAAAAA